CCCCAGACCACGUGGUCCGCCCCGAGAGCCAGCGGCCCCAGCAGCAGCGUGGGAGAGCAGCAAGGAGGGAGAGGAGGUACAGGGGGAGGAUCCAGAGGAUAAAAUGGCCGCCGCCGAGCAGCAUCAGGCAGUAGGGGGCGUGGGGACCCCCCAGGCAGGCAUGCAGGAAGUGCCUGAGACUCUGAAGGAGGCGCAGUCGCCCAGCCCCCCAACAGGGGAAAGCCUGCCCCCGCCCUCCUGGGAGGACCAUCCUCUGAGCCCACUCCUGGACCUCACCCCCCAGGGGAAGGUUGCCGACCAGGGGGGGCAGGGGGCGGGGCCAGCAGCCCUCCCCAACGGGCUCAGGGCGGAGUUCGCCCUGCUGGAGGCUGAGGGCCCCAAGGCAGCCGGCUCUCUGCUGGAGGCUGAGGGCCCCAAGGCAACCGGCUCUCUGCUGGAGGCUGAGGGCCCCAAGGCAACCGGCUCUCUGCUGGAGGCUGAGGGCCCCAAGGCAGAAACCUGUCUGCUGGAAGCUGAGGGCCCCAAGGCAGAGACCUGUCUGCUGGAGGCUGAGGGCCCCAAGGCAGCCGGCUCUCUGCGGGAGGCUGAGGGCCCCAAGGCAACCGGCUCUCUGCUGGAGGCUGAGGGCCCCAAGGCAGAGACCUGUCUGCUGGAGGCUGAGGGCCCCAAGGCAACCGGCUCUCUGCUGGAGGCUGAGGGCCCCAAGGCAACCGGCUCUCUGCUGGAGGCUGAGGGCCCCAAGGCAGAGACCUGUCUGCUGGAGGCUGAGGGCCCCAAGGCAGCCGGCAGUCUGCUGGAACACGGUGGUUUCUGAAACGGCAAGAUAGCACCAGGGAACGUUUGUGCCAGAACACGCCUCCUCCUUUCGCCGAGCCGCCCCUUGGGGCGCAAGAUCAUUCCCUAAUUUACCGACGUGGUGCAGGAGGGAAAAGAACACUCUGUGCCAGUUGCAAACUAGCAACGACACAUGCGCCAGUGAUUAAGUCAAUUGUGCCAGAUGCAAGAUAGGGGCCCUUGAGUCUGAGGACAGACUCUAAAUGGAUGUUGUGUUGUGUUGUUGGUUGUUGUGUUGUGUUGUGAUGUGUUGUGUUGUUGUGAUGCUGUGUUGUGUUGUUCUGAUGUUGGCAGUGAGGACAGACAGUAAAGGGAUGUUGUGUUGUUGUGAUGUUGACAGUGAGGGUGAGGACAGACAGUGAAGGGUUGUUGUGUUGUGUUGUGAUGUGUUGUGUUGUUGUGAUGCUGUGUUGUGAUGUUGGCAGUGAGGACAGACAGUAAAGGGAUGUUGUGUUGUUGUGAUGUUGACAGUGUGGGUGAGGACAGUGAACUGAUGUUGUGUUGUGUUGUUGUGAUGCUGUGUUGUGAUGUUGGCGGUGAGGACAGACUGUAAAGGGGUGUUGUGUUGUGUUGUGUUGUGUUGUGAUGCUGUGUUGUGAUGUUGUGUUGUGUUGUUGACAGCAGAGCUGAGCUGCGGGCCGGACGUGGAGACGCUGCUGCUGGACGCCAGCCUGGAGACGGAGCGGAGAGACGCGCCCUGAAGACCCCAGGCUGCGUCGUGGGAACCCCGGUCUGCCUCCUCAGAUGGUCGCCUCUCUCCGCCAGACCCUCUGCCGGCUGGAACACCGUACAUAAAGAUAUACCAACAUGUUAAAUAGACCAAAAAGAUAGAGCAUCUCAGACAGAAAGACUUUUGAAAACAACUCCACCAUCACCACGCUUUGGCACCAGGCAUCAGAGCUCCACCUGCCCCACACUACACCCCCCACUGAGCCCCAGGAGGAGGUGCUACCGUCGGGCGCUCUGCUCCAUCGACGCCCCAGACCCCCACACCACAAGAGGGGGCUGAUGACACUAACCAAAGACUACAGAAUACAGCCCCCCCCCCAGGCAACAGGUGUGGUAUGGUGUGUACCCCACCCUGUCAGGCGCUCCCAGGAGCCAGGCGUCUUCCUCGCUGGGUUCCUCAGCCUGGGGGUCUCCAAGCUCACAGAUCUGUUUGGUCCCCGAGGGAAAAUGAGUUGAGAAAGUUGUUGAAAGUGUCCCUCUUGUGUUGCUGUGUCCCUGCCCCGGCCCCCCCUACACUACUGUCCUCAUUCUGAUGAGUCGUGCUGUUAAUGGAAGUCAAACUGUACGGCCUUCAAAUCUGCCGACCAAAUCCAAUCGCAGACACCUUAACGUGGUCUCGCCCCCCACCGGCUCACAGCUGCGGGGGACACAUAAAGCGUCUUGAUACGAGUAGAUGGUCCCCUGUUCCUUCCUUCCUGGUCUUCUUUAUUCCGUCUUCCACUAGUACCGCCCCCCCCCCGUGAUUCAUGUUGCCUUCACUUCAUUCUUAGUUUGAAUUUUAUCCUGGCUUUUGUUUUGCUGCUUUGAGAAAUCGAUUGUUUUUGUAUUUAUUUUAUAGAUCUAUGAGCGUCUCUGUGUGGAUUAUUCCCCUCCCUUCCCUUUUGUGUUUAAUGUUAUUUCUUUAUUAAGGGUUUUUGCUUUAAGCGACUUGCCCCGUUGGUGUAAAUGUCCUGUUGGAUUAGGUGGUUGUUUCUCUUGAUUGGGGAAAGGGUCUUGGUAAUAAAGAUAUCUUCGGGUGAAGGGUUUACGUCAAUGUUGGAAUGAUUGAACUGUUAAGACAACAAGCACGAAGAGCGUUGUUUUCAGGAGGGGCAGCACUUGCAGGCUCACACCCGAACAAUGCUCACACCGACCACCGCUCACAUCCCGCUCACAUCCCGCUCACAACCCGCUCACACCCGACCAAUGCUCACAUCCCGCUCACACCCAACCACUGCUCACACCCCGCUCACACCAGACCAAUGCUCACACCCCGCUCACACCCGACGAAUGCUCACACCCCGCUCACAUCCCGCUCACACCCAACCACUGCUCACACCCGCUCACACCAGACCAAUGCUCACAUCCCGCUCACACCGCUCACACCCGCUCACACC
ensembl:lncRNA